rnacentral:tRNA from 1 species
AAAAAUUUAGUUAAAAUAUAACAUUAGCUUGUCAAGCUAAAAUUAAUAUAAAAUUAUUAAUUUUUA